AUAAGGUAAUGAACUGUAUUACUAGAAAGAAAUACAUUUGAAGAAAGCAACUGUAUCUCAGUGAUAGAUAUUGGGUACAUGAAACAGUAUAUUGAUUAAUGUGUAUUUGGAAAAGGCUAACUAAUGAAAUCCACAUGUUGAUAUAAGAACCUAUGUACAGAUUAAGGAUGUAAAGGCUUUUCAUGCCUUUUUGUCUGUCGUCAUGUUUAAAAAUUCUUAUUAGUGAAUUAAUGAAUUCAUCAAUAAAAAACUAGAAGUGAAUGAAGAAAAAGAGGGACAAUAUUGGAUCGAUGAUGACUACUGGUGGCGUAUGAGUCAUUUACGAUGAAUACGUGUCUGGAACUCUGAGGUCCGACAGAGGAGAAAUCUAGUCUGUUCCCAUUGUUUGAAGGCAUCCUGUGGACACAUGUCAGGAAUAGAUGAGGAUUUUGUUAUUGACCUUAAUGUUCAUGCAUUUUCAUUCUACUAUUAUAAUUGAAUUGAUGAGAGAAUCUAAAAUUCAAUAUAUAAAAGAAUAAAGAUGGAUGGAGUGAAGCAUUGUCAAAUUAUAAAAGAUCAAUGGAGAGAAUGUCUCAACUAUUUCUAUCACCUGCAAUGCCCUGCAUUCCUCAGAAUGGACACCCCGGACUUCAUGGUUUCUUCCUUGGUCAAGAGCCCUUGGGUGCAUCUGAGUUUUAGGAGCCUGGAGACCAGUAUGGACACACUCACGCUGAUCACACAUUCUCUCAAGGUCACCCACUCUGGUUGCAUAUCUGUUGUAGGAGCAGAGACCAAUAACAGAUGUUUCAGCUGAUCUCAUCUAUUCUGAUCAAGAUCGUCAUGUUCCCUUUGUGUUAGAAAAGAGACCAAGAGUGGACCACGCCUUGUCCCUGGUGUCGAUGUCCAUGGCUGCAUCUGUGUACUAGGGGCACAAAGACCAAU